AAAAUAGAAGGCAUGGGAAUGCCAUGGUCCCCAAGACACUGAAGCAACUACUUGGCUUUUUCAGUUUUGUUUUGUUUUGUUUUGUUUUUUGUAGACUAAUAUCAUAAGAUACCACAGUAUCAAAUGUGGAGAAUGGGUGGGAGUCUUGCAGGGGUAACAGAGUGAAGAUCAAGUUUAGACUGAUUUUUCCCCCUCAAAGGUUUUUCCUUUUUCUCUCUAGUGACAUAAAUUUUCAUUUUGUGCAAAGUGGGGAAGAAUGAAGUUGGCAGGAGAUUAUCAAUUUUGGAAUUAAGGGGUUAUAACUACAGGGAUAUUUUUAAAUACACGGUAAGACAAUGGCAUCUUUAUCUUGACAUGGGGAGAAAGUGAAUUUUCACUGUUAAGUGUGAAGCUUGCUGUGGGGUUUUAUAGCUAUUGUGUAUCAAAUGAAGUAAUUAUCUGCAAGUCCACAUUUGCUGAGAAUGCUAUCAUGGAGGAAACUUGCAUUUUGCCAAACACAUUUUCUGCAUCAGUUGAUAUGGUUAUAUGAUUUUCUGCUCAGCUAAUUGACAUGAUUGAUCACACCGAUUAAUUUCAAGUGUUGAGACAGUUUUGCACAUCUGGAAGGAAGUCUACCUGGAGAAGUGGCCAAGAAUGAAUCCAAUGAGAAGAGAAGGGAAAUAAAAGGAUACAGAACCCCAAGGAGCAGCAGCCAUAGGAAGUUUGCAGGAUUAGCUGACUGCUCCUGCUGACUCCAUGCCAAGUGCUUCCCAUCUGCCAUCAGUGCCCUCUCCUCAGGCA
rnacentral:lncRNA from 1 species